UAACGAAAAUAAACUCAUAUUUUUUUCUUUAUUCAUUUACGAAAUGUAUACAUACGUUUUGUGUAAUAAGCGUAAGUAAUAUUUAAAGAAAAGAGUAUACCAUUGAAUAAGAUUUUAAUAAAUCGCCCACUCUAGUCAACAUUCCAAGCUACUAUGGAUAGUGUUUUAGAUAAAAAGGAUAACCUCUGCGGGGAGUGACUACAGUUUCAAAAUCUUAGAUGAAUUGUUUGGAAUUGAUUGAGAUACAUUGUUUGUGAUGACCACCUACAUAAUUUAAAUAUAUAAAAGCACACACACACACAUACACGUCCACACGAACGCGCAUACGCACACACAAUUCAAAGUCUCCGGAGAAGAGGCGGAUGACCUCAAAUCGUGACUUGAUUCUCUCAUUAGGGCUACGCCGCAUCGUAUAGUUCACGGCCGACGACAACGACGACGACUGCACCAAGAAGAGACGCGGCUAAAAUACGACCGACCUGACGCCGCGCACCCAAACAGAUAAUACGACUCGUAAUAUUAUGCGAUUGGAGAUAACACAAUAAUAUUAUUUAGAGGUACAAACUGCUUUGAUAAAAUUACAAUAUAAUAUGAGUCUUGGUCAUCGUCGUCGGUUGACAUAAUAAGUAGCUUUCUCAUAUCGCCGCGUUUCGGUCAUAAUAUUUUCAAUGAUCUGUUUCGGAAACAUCAAACGGAUAAAACAUAUUUUUUUAACUCCCGCUCCUUCAACUAUUUACAAAAAUAUCACCAUAAACUUAUAAUGAGAUUUAUAAUAUAUAAUCUCUUA